rnacentral:rRNA from 1 species
GGGGAAUAUUGGACAAUGGGCGAAAGCCUGAUCCAGCCAUGCCGCGUGAGUGACGAAGGUCUUCGGAUUGUAAAGCUCUUUUGGCGGGGACGAUAAUGACGGUACCCGCAGAAUAAGCCCCGGCUAACUUCGUGCCAGCAGCCGCGGUAAUACGAAGGGGGCUAGCGUUGUUCGGAAUUACUGGGCGUAAAGCGCACGUAGGCGGAUUGUUAAGUUAGGGGUGAAAUCCCGGGGCUCAACCUCGGAACUGCCUUUGAUACUGGCAAUCUUGAGUCCGGAAGAGGUGAGUGGAAUUCCUAGUGUAGAGGUGAAAUUCGUAGAUAUUAGGAAGAACACCAGUGGCGAAGGCGGCUCACUGGUCCGGAACUGACGCUGAGGUGCGAAAGCGUGGGGAGCAAAC